UACGUAGGGAGCAAGCGUUGUUCGGAGUUACUGGGCGUAAAGGGUGCGUAGGCGGCUGUGUAAGUUUGGUGUGAAAUCUCCCGGCUCAACCGGGAGGGUGCGCCGAAUACUGAGUGGCUAGAGUGCGGGAGAGGAAAGUGGAAUUCCUGGUGUAGCGGUGAAAUGCGUAGAUAUCAGGAGGAACACCGGUGGUGUAAACGGCUUUCUGGACCGUAACUGACGCUGAGGCACGAAAGCGUGGGUAGCAAACAGG
rnacentral:rRNA from 1 species